rnacentral:misc_RNA from 1 species
GGUUUAUAAAACCCAGUUUGAG